rnacentral:rRNA from 1 species
GCUGAACGCUGACAGUAUGCUUAACACAUGCAAGUCAACUUGGUGGCGGACGGGUGAGUAACGCGUAAAGAACUUGCCUCACAGGUUGGGACAACAUUUGGAAACGAAUGCUAAUCUCCAAUUCUGUGACGGAGCUUUGCGUCCCAUUAGCUAGUUGGAGUGGUAACGGCUUACAAAGGCGAGGAUGGGUAGCCGGCCUGAGAGGGUGAUCGGCCACGAGGGGACUGAGACACUGCCCUUACUCCUACGGGAGGCAGGAGUGGGGAAUAUUGGACAAUGGACCAAGGUCUGAUCCAAAAAUUCUGUGUGCACGAUGAAGUUUUUCGGAGAGUAAAGUGCUUUCAGUUGGGACGGUACCGACAUAAGAAGGGACGGCUAACUCCGUGCCAGCAGCCGCGGUAAUUC